AGAGUUUGAUCCUGGCUCAGGAUGAACGCUGGCGGCGUGCCUAACACAUGCAAGUCGAGCGAAGCACUUUACUUUGAUUCUUCGGAUGAAGAGUUUUGUGACUGAGCGGCGGACGGGUGAGUAACGCGUGGGUAACCUGCCUCAUACAGGGGGAUAACAGUUAGAAAUGACUGCUAAUACCGCAUAAGACCACAGCACCGCAUGGUGCAGGGGUAAAACUCCGGUGGUAUGAGAUGGACCCGCGUCUGAUUAGCUAGUUGGUAAGGUAACGGCUUACCAAGGCGACGAUCAGUAGCCGACCUGAGAGGGUGACCGGCCACAUUGGGACUGAGACACGGCCCAAACUCCUACGGGAGGCAGCAGUGGGGAAUAUUGCACAAUGGGGGAAACCCUGAUGCAGCGACGCCGCGUGAGCGAAGAAGUAUUUCGGUAUGUAAAGCUCUAUCAGCAGGGAAGAAACUGACGGUACCUGACUAAGAAGCACCGGCUAAAUACGUG
rnacentral:rRNA from 1 species